UACGGAGGGGGCUAGCGUUGUUCGGAAUUACUGGGCGUAAAGCGCACGUAGGCGGAUCAGUAAGUUAGGGGUGAAAGCCCAGGGCUCAACCCUGGAACUGCCUUUAAUACUGCUGAUCUGGAGUCCGAGAGAGGUGAGUGGAAUUCCGAGUGUAGAGGUGAAAUUCGUAGAUAUUCGGAGGAACACCAGUGGCGAAGGCGGCCCCCUGGACCGGUACUGACGCUGAGGCGCGAAAGCGUGGGUAGCAAACGGG
rnacentral:rRNA from 1 species